rnacentral:rRNA from 1 species
CCUACGGGUGGCAGCAGUGGGGAAUAUUGCACAAUGGGGGAAACCCUGAUGCCGCGACGCCGCGUGAGUGAAGAAGUAUUUCGGUAUGUUAAGCUCUAUCAGUAGGGAAGUAAAUGACGGUACCUGAUUAAGAAGCCCCGGCUAACUACGUGCCAGCAGCCGCGGUAACAAGUCGGGCGCAAGCGUUAUCCGGAUUUACUGGGUGUAAAGGGAGCGUAGACGGCAGCACAAGUCUGGAGUGAAAUGGCGGGUCUUAACCCCGGCACUGCUUUGGAAACUGUGCAGCUAGAGUGUAGUAGAGGUAAGUGGAAUUCCUGGGGUAGCGGUGAAAUGCGUAGAUAUUAGGAGGAACACCAGUGGCGAAGGCAGCUUACUGGACUGUAACUGACGUUGAGGCUCGAAAGCGUGGGGAGCAAACAGGAUUAGAUACCCCAGUAGUC